rnacentral:tRNA from 1 species
GCGGGUAUAACUCAGUGGUAGAGUGUUUGCUUCCCAAGCAAAAAGUCGUGGGUUCGAAUCCCAUUACCCGCUCCA